GACGAACGCUGGCGGCGUGCUUAACACAUGCAAGUCGAACGGAAAGGCCCUGCUUUUGUGGGGUGCUCGAGUGGCGAACGGGUGAGUAACACGUGAGUAACCUGCCCUUUACUUUGGGAUAACUUCAGGAAACUGGUGCUAAUACCGGAUAGGAGCUCCUGCUGCAUGGUGGGGGUUGGAAAGUUUCGGCGGUUGGGGAUGGACUCGCGGCUUAUCAGCUUGUUGGUGGGGUAGUGGCUUACCAAGGCUUUGACGGGUAGCCGGCCUGAGAGGGUGACCGGCCACAUUGGGACUGAGAGACGGCCCAGACUCCUACGGGAGGCAGCAGUGGGGAAUAUUGCACAAUGGGCGGAAGCCUGAUGCAGCAACGCCGCGUGCGGGAUGACGGCCUUCGGGUUGUAAACCGCUUUCGCCUGUGACGAAGCGUGAGUGACGGUAAUGGGUAAAGAAGCACCGGCUAACUACGUG
rnacentral:rRNA from 1 species